rnacentral:RNase_P_RNA from 1 species
AGACUUGACUUGCAAUCGCUUAUCGCGAUUAUGAGGCAGAGGAAAGUCCGGACUCCCGUAGGACAGGACGCCGGGUAACGCCCGGAGUUUAUCUGUAAUGGAUAGAUUACGGAAAGUGCCGAAAAAUACCGCCCAUUUCGGUGUAUUCCGUCAUGGGUAAGGGUGAAAUGGCAGGUUAAGAGCCUACCGCAUGAAUGGUAACAUUCUGUGGCAAGGUAAACCCCGUCCGGAGUAAAGCCAAGCAGAAGACGCUUCCGUUUACGGGAUGGAGGACUGUCCGUCAAUGUCUUCAGGUAGGCCGCUUGAGGUGAAAAGUAAUUUUCAUCCAGAUAAAUGAUUGCCUUCGGUUUAUUGUUACAAUAUGAGCUUUAGAUCGUAAUGAUUUCAUUUUUAAAAGAUCCAUGUACCCACCCGGCAUAUAGUGUCGGGCGCACUGCGCUUUUUGUGUAGUUCGUUUUGUUACUUUUUUUUUAAACCGAAACAGAAUCCGGCAGAAGUCAGGUCUAUAU